rnacentral:rRNA from 1 species
UACGUAGGGGGCAAGCGUUGUCCGGAGUCAUUGGGCGUAAAGAGCGUGUAGGCGGCUCGAUAAGUCUGCUGUGAAAGUCCAGGGCUCAACCCUGGAAGGCCGGUGGAAACUGUCGGGCUAGAGUCCGGAAGAGGCGAGUGGAAUUCCCGGUGUAGCGGUGAAAUGCGCAGAUAUCGGGAGGAACACCAAUGGCGAAGGCAGCUCGCUGGGACGGUACUGACGCUGAGACGCGAAAGCGUGGGGAGCAAACAGG